rnacentral:misc_RNA from 1 species
AAAAAAAAUUUUACUAAACACUUAACAUAAAUGAGCUAUCAUCAGCUACCGGCUAUCAACUAACAGUAAUAAAUACAGCUAACAGUUAUCGACUAUAUUCAAUAGUUACACCAAAACAGGCCCUUAGAAAGGUGAUUGUUAUGGCUAGACUUCUACAGAAGCUUUCUUCUUGGGCAUAUAGCAGACAGACCCAACAAUUCCAAACAUCAGAGCAGAGAAAAGGAAGUCCAUUCAUAUCUUCAAGGUAGAAUUCAAUUAAAACCUUAAUUGUAUUUACCAAACCCAUCACCUUUUAACAUCCAAACACGGAUCAUACCCAAUGAACAUAUGAUGCUUCCUCAAAUUUCUUGAACCAUACCAACAGCUGAAAUAACAAUAUAGAUCAUUGCUGUCUCCAGAUUCAUUUUUGAAAUGGUAUCUACAUUUCACUUGGAAACCAGAGUCGUCUAUAUGGAGUUUGUUGAAUGCUAUAACAGAACAGAGAAUGAAACCCAGGAACUCGCUAUUAGCCCAAUGUGAAGGCAGCUGGAUUGUCAUGGACAAUCCCCAACUUUGAUGGCUGAACCACUUUGGAAUACUACUUCCAGGGAAGCAAAAACCAGAUUCCCCUGCUCGCACAGAAGGCAUCUGAUUGUGCAAUCUUUUUGAAUAAAGCUGAAAUUUUGUUAGUGCAUAUGUCAUGAUGUUGUGCUUUGCAACAGCAUGCAAGUUUCCGCAAUUAGUGAAAAGGAAUUCAAAAAUGUUUCCCUCGACUAUAGUCGAAUCAAUUAUUGACACAGAUAAGAGUGAGAAACAGUUAUCUGCAUCUAAUUUUGUCAACUGGGGUGGAAGUGCUGUUAUUGAACGUAGCGACUUGCAAUCCCUCAAACCGAGGUAUUGCAGCUCUGUGAGCAUUCUGAUGCUAUCAGGUAGGUGACAAAAAGAGUUUCCACUUAGAUCUAAUACUUCUAGUGAGAACAAGUAGCCGAUGCAGUCGGGGAUGUAGACCAUCCCACAACCAGUUAGAUAUAGCUUCCUCAGGUAUUGUAAAUGUGAACCUGAACUGUCUAUAAUUGACAUCAGUUCUGCCAAUCCUUGAAUUCUUUUGCAGUUUCUCAAUUCCAAGCUAGAAAGCCCCUUCAAAUUUUCAAUUGGGGAGGGUAAAUCCAUUAUGGCUGUUCCAUCUAAAUAGAGGCAUCUUAAUGAUCCCAUUGCCUCCAAAAUUUCCGGAAAACAUUCAAAUAUGGAGCAGCCUGAGAGAAUAAGCUUUUGCAAAGAUUUCAACUUACAAAUGCAACUUGGAAGAAUACGAAACUUUUUGCAAUUUUGCAUGCUCAAUUCAACGAGUUCAGAGCAAUACUCGAUUGAUGAUGGAAUUUCCUCUAUUGCUGUCCCACAUAAGAACAACUUCUUUAUGCUUUUUGAAACCUCUGGAAACUUGUUUAUACUUGAGCAGCCAGAGACAAUAAGCUUUUCAAGUGAUGCCAACUUAGAAAUGGUACAAGGAAUAUUCUUAAGCCUUUUACAGUUCUUCAGAUCCAAACAAGAGAGUUUGGAGAGCUCACCAAUUGUCGAGGGGAGUUCUUCUAUUCCAGUUUCACUUAAGUACAAGAAUUGGAUAUUAGUUGAAAUGUCCGGAAACUUGGUGAUAGAUGAGCAGCCAGAAAAAUUGGUAGUCCGAAGGAAUUUCAACAAAUGCAAGCUCUCUGGAAGAUACCGUAGUCGUUUACAAUCCUUCAUAUUCAGUGCAACGAGUCCACUGAGAUGCCCAAUUGAUUUGGGAAGGUGUCCUAUUGCAGUCCCAUUUAAAUUUAAAUACGUUAUAUUCUCUGAAAUCUCUGGACACUCCCUAAGAUUUGUGCAGCCGGAAAGGUUAAGAGUCUUAAGUGAUCUCAAUUUAAUGCCACUAGGGAGGCUCACAACACUUGUGCAGCAUCUCAUACUCAAAAAUGUAAGUUUGUCUAGAAACCGAAUAGAAGAGGGGACUUCCACCAAGCUAGUGCAGUAAUCCAAAUUCACUCUUUCAAGAUUCUUGGCUUGUGAGACGUCUGGAAAUGUGGUCAAGUGCUCAGAAUUACUAAGGCUGAUCUCUUCCAAACUCGCAAGAUUCUGCACUCCUUCCCAUAGUUUUUUAACGCAGCUGUUAGGCAAGUUAAGUUGAACAAGAUUCUCUGCUUGAAAAUUGGGCGUCAGAGAGCUCAGAGGAUAUCUAUCCCAAUGAAGAUACCUCAACUUAUCAGAAAGAAACUUAAGGCCAUCAGGCAGAUGCACUUUACACUUAUUUCCAACUAUAGAAUUAUGGAUUUUGAGUAGUCUAAGAUUAUACAUCCUCAUGAAGGCUUUGGAACUCAAGUACAUUUCUCCGAUUUUAGCUGUGUCUAAGAAUAUUCCCUCAACUUUGUCAGAUCCCAGAUUUUUGGUCAACACUUGACAAACAUCAGUAGGACACCACAAUCUACUGCGCUUGCCCAACUCUUUAACAGAUUCUUGGCGAACAAUUUCAUGAGCCAAUUCUUGCAGCAAGUUAUGCAUCUCCAACUUGUUUCCUAGGAUGGUAAUAAGGCAUUUAUCAACAAGAACAGCAAUUCCAAUGCCUGCUGAGAAACCACAACCAUCUAGUAUUCUCUUUACGAAAUCAAUUUGUUGCCCCUUGAAAAAACAUGCAAUAUCAAGAAAUAUAUUUUUCUCUUCGUCAUCUAGCGCAUCAAAACUUAUUCUCAACAUAUGAAAAAUUUUAGGCUGAGGAAUUCUUCCAAAUUUAUCCAGCGCACUUUCCCAAUCUUCUUUCCUUCUUUCAAAAAGAAAAGAACCCAAAACUUUAAGUGCCAAAGGAUUGCCCUGAGCAUAUUUCACCGCUCUUUUUGAUAGCUCCAUAUUAUCUUUUGUGGUAUAGUUAAAAGCAUUUAAACAAAACAAUU